CCUACGGGAGGCAGCAGUGAGGAAUAUUGGUCAAUGGCCGGAAGGCUGAACCAGCCAUGCCGCGUGAAGGUCAGUGCCCUAUGGGCGUUAAACUUCUUUUGUGCGGGAGCAAUAAUGGUCACGUGUGGCCAGACGAGAGUACCGUACGAAUAAGCAUCAGCUAACUCCGUGCCAGCAGCCGCGGUAAUACGGGGGAUGCAAGCGUUAUCCCGAGUUAUUGGGUUUAAAGGGUGCGUAGGCUGUUAUGUAAGUCAGCGGUGAAAUGCCCCCGCUCAACGGGGUGAAGUGCCAUUGAUACUGCCUUGCUGGAGUGCGGAUGCCGUAGGAGGAAUGUGUGGUGUAGCGGUGAAAUGCAUAGAUAUCACACAGAACACCGAUUGCGAAGGCAGCUCACGAAUCCGCGAUUGACGCUGAUGCACGAAAGCGUGGGUAUCAAACAGGAUUAGAUACCCUUGUAGUC
rnacentral:rRNA from 1 species